CAGCAGCCGCGGUAAUACGGAGGGUGCGAGCGUUAAUCGGAAUAACAGGGCGUAAAGGGCACGCAGGCGGUGACUUAAGUGAGGUGUGAAAGCCCCGGGCUUAACCUGGGAAUUGCAUUUCAUACUGGGUCGCUAGAGUACUUUAGGGAGGGGUAGAAUUCCACGUGUAGCGGUGAAAUGCGUAGAGAUGUGGAGGAAUACCGAAGGCGAAGGCAGCCCCUUGGGAAUGUACUGACGCUCAUGUGCGAAAGCGUGGGGAGCAAACAGGAUUAGAUACCCCUGUAGUCCCUGUCUCUUAUAC
rnacentral:rRNA from 1 species